GGAGGAGGAGGAGGAGGAGAGGGGGCGGCGCUGGGUGGAGGAGGGACUGGGGGCGGCGCUGGGUGGAGGAGGGGCUUGGGGCACCGCUGGCCUGGAGGAGGAGCUGCAGCCAUGGGAGCCUCGAUCGUCCUGUCAAGGUUUACUGGUUUUUAGUUACCUUGCUUGCUGAUCUUGCGCUUCGGCAUGGAGCAAAUCAACUACUGGUUUUUGGUUUACCUAGUCAGGUUUACUUGUGUUGUGGCGGCAGGGAAGCGCGCCCCCGGCCAGCCAGCCGGGAACAGACAGGUGACUGCGUGGAUGCAUAUGACACCGGGUUGGGACUUCUCUUAAUUCGUUUUUAGCUCUUCUCCUCCGCUUGUGAUCUCUAUCAUUUGUACAGGUGAUAGCAUGGAGAGGAUAGUCCGUUCGUGCCCAACAUCGAGGCACGGUGCUUCUGGCUGCACCUCCUUGAGUAUUUCCAGCAAAUCUGCACUAUAUGUUAUAUCUGUGGCACAGCAUCGUCGACAGCAUGGCAGCGGCGCUCUUCUGGCCUGUUUACAAAGCUUUGGUACAUGGCAUGGUACCACAACGGACUGUACUUCACAAUAUACAUUUCUGGAAUAAGGCAUUGCAAUAUGAGACAGUCAAUUAAGAUCCGAUGAUGACCCUGAAAAUUCAGAGUUUAUCAAGUUAACUUGGGUGCCGAGGAGAUUUUACGUUCAUUGCUACUGAGCAUGCUAAUGUCCAUUGCUACUGAGCAUGCUAAUGUCCACUUGCCAUGGAAGUGAGGUAGUGCUCACAAUGUGUUUGCCACUGAGCAUGCUACUGAGCAGGGACAAACGUUGCAAGGUUGUGAUUAAUAUGCCUGAGCAGCAGAUGGAGAUGCUGCUG